rnacentral:rRNA from 1 species
AUUGAACGCUGGCGGCAGGCCUAACACAUGCAAGUCGAGCGGAUGAAGAGAGCUUGCUCUCUGAUUCAGCGGCGGACGGGUGAGUAAUGCCUUGGAAUCUGCCUGGUAGUGGGGGACAACGUUUCGAAAGGAACGCUAAUACCGCAUACGUCCUACGGGAGAAAGUGGGGGAUCUUCGGACCUCACGCUAUCAGAUGAGCCUAGGUACGAUUAGCUAGUUGGUGAGGUAAAGGCUCACCAAGGCGACGAUCGUUAACUGGUCUGAGAGGAUGAUCAGGAACACUGGAACUGAGACACGGUCCAGACUCCUACGGGAGGCAGCAGUGGGGAAUAUUGGACAAUGGGCGAAAGCCUGAUCCAGCCAUGCCGCGUGUGUGAAGAAGGUCUUCGGAUUGUAAAGCACUUUAAGUUGGGAGGAAGGGCAGUAAGUUAAUACCUUGCUGUUUUGACGUUACCGACAGAAUAAGCACCGGCUAACUUCGUGCCAGCAGCCGCCGUAA